UGGGGAAUCUUGCGCAAUGGGCGAAAGCCUGACGCAGCAACGCCGCGUGCGGGAAGAAGGCUUUCGGGCUGUAAACCGCUUUCAGCAGGAACGAAAAUGACGGUACCUGCAGAAGAAGGAGCGGCCAACUAUGUGCCAGCAGCCGCGGUGAUACAUAGGCUUCAAGCGUUGUCCGGAUUUAUUGGGCGUAAAGAGUUCGUAGGCGGUCAAGUAAGUCGGGUGUGAAAAUUCUGGGCUUAACCCAGAGAC
rnacentral:rRNA from 1 species